GGACCCGCACAAGUAGUGGAGCAUGUGGUUUAAUUCGAAGAUACGCGCAGAACCUUACCAACACUUGACAUGUUCGUCGCGACUCUAAGAGAUUAGAGUUUUCGGUUCGGCCGGACGAAACACAGGUGCUGCAUGGCUGUCGUCAGCUCGUGUCGUGAGAUGUUGGGUUAAGUCCCGCAACGAGCGCAACCCUCACUUUUAGUUGCCAUCAUUAAGUUGGGCACUCUGAAAGAACUGCCAGUGAUAAGCUGGAGGAAGGUGGGGAUGACGUCAAGUCCUCAUGGCCCUUACGUGUUGGGCUACACACGUGCUACAAUGGUAUCUACAACAGGAAGCAAGACGGCGACGUCAAGCAAAUCCUUAAAAGAUACCUCAGUUCGGAUUGCACUCUGCAACUCGAGUGCAUG
rnacentral:rRNA from 1 species